AUUUACAAAGUUUAGAAAUGUCUAUUAUCUAGUUUUGAGGGGAUAAUUCCGCUCAGCAAAUUUAAUCUGGUGUCUAUGGCAUAGUGGUCACACCUGUUCCCAUCCCGAACACAGAAGUUAAGCACUAUUACGCCGACGAUAGC
rnacentral:rRNA from 1 species